rnacentral:tRNA from 3 species
UGAGUGGUUAGUGUAAUGGUUAGCACAACAGUCUCCAAAACUGUUAGAGAGGGUUCGAUUCCUUCACUGCUUGU